UACGUAGGGUGCGAGCGUUGUUCGGAAUUACUGGGCGUAAAGGGCGCGUAGGCGGCGACUCUAGUCAGAUGUGAAAGUCCUGGGCUUAACCUGGGGACUACAUUUGAUACUGGGUUGCUUGAAUUCGGGAGAGGAUAGCGGAAUUCCCAGUGUAGAGGUGAAAUUCGUAGAUAUUGGGAAGAACACCGGUGGCGAAGGCGGCUAUCUGGACCGACAUUGACGCUGAGGCGCGAAAGCGUGGGGAGCAAACAGG
rnacentral:rRNA from 1 species